AAGUCGUAACAAGGUAACCGUAGGUGAACCUGCGGUUGGAUCAUUAAUAAAAUCUUUUAAUUGUUAAGUGAGUUGGAUUAAAUUUAUUUUUCUUUUAACUCACUUUUCAAACAUUUUGUGAACUGUUUUACUGUUUUUUGGUAGGGCUUAUAGAAUAAAUUUUUAUAAUUUAUUUGGGAUAUUAUUGUGUGUAGCAAUACCAUAUAUAUAUGUUUUACCUACCAAUUUUUUAAACUCUUUAAAAAUAUUUAUAUACAAGUCUUUAAAAAAAAAUUUAAAUUUGUUUACAAAUUUUUAUAUUAUUAUAAAAUUAUAAAACAACUUUUGACAACGGAUCUCUAGGCUCUCA
rnacentral:misc_RNA from 1 species